GACGGAUUAGCGGCGGACGGGUGAGUAACACGUGAGUAACCUGCCUUUUACACAGGGAUAGCCUCGGGAAACCGGGAUUAAAACCUGAUGAAACUAUCAAAUCACAUGAUUAAGAAAGUUAAAAACUCCGGUGGUAAAAAGAUGGACCUCGCGUCCCAUUAGCUAGUUGGUGAAGGUAACGGCCCACCAAGGCAACGAUGGGUAGCCGGCCUGAGAGGGUGAACGGCCACAUUGGAACUGAGAAACGGUCCAAAACUCCUACGGGAGGCAGCAGCU
rnacentral:rRNA from 1 species